rnacentral:rRNA from 4 species
AACUUUCAGCAACGGAUCUCUUGGCUCUCGCAUCGAUGAAGAACGCAGCGAAAUGCGAUAAGUAAUGUGAAUUGCAGAAUUCAGUGAAUCAUCGAAUCUUUGAACGCACCUUGCGCUCCUUGGUAUUCCGAGGAGCAUGCCUGUUUGAGUGUCAGUA